rnacentral:rRNA from 1 species
AGAGUUUGAUCAUGGCUCAGAUUGAACGCUGGCGGCAUGCUUUACACAUGCAAGUCGAACGGCAGCACGGGGUGGUAACACCCUGGUGGCGAGUGGCGAACGGGUGAGUAAUAUAUCGGAACAUGUCCGGAAGUGGGGGAUAGCUCGGCGAAAGCCGGAUUAAUACCGCAUAUGCCCUGAGGGGGAAAGCGGGGGAUCGCAAGACCUCGCGCUUUCGGAGUGGCCGAUAUCGGAUUAGCUAGUUGGUGGGGUAAAGGCUUACCAAGGCGACGAUCCGUAGCUGGUCUGAGAGGACGACCAGCCACACUGGAACUGAGACACGGUCCAGACUCCUACGGGAGGCAGCAGUGGGGAAUUUUGGACAAUGGGGGAAACCCUGAUCCAGCCAUGCCGCGUGAGUGAAGAAGGCCUUCGGGUUGUAAAGCUCUUUCGUGAGGAAAGAAACGGUCACGGUGAAUAUCCGUGACUAAUGACGGUACCUCAAGAAGAAGCACCGGCUAACUACGUGCCAGCAGCCGCGGUAAUACGUAGGGUGCGAGCGUUAAUCGGAAUUACUGGGCGUAAAGCGUGCGCAGGCGGUUUUGUAAGACAGGUGUGAAAUCCCCGGGCUUAACCUGGGAACUGCAUUUGUGACUGCAAGGCUAGAGUGCGGCAGAGGGGGGUAGAAUUCCACGUGUAGCAGUGAAAUGCGUAGAUAUGUGGAGGAAUACCGAUGGCGAAGGCAGCCCCCUGGGUCGACACUGACGCUCAUGCACGAAAGCGUGGGGAGCAAACAGGAUUAGAUACCCUGGUAGUCCACGCCCUAAACGAUGUCAACUAGGUGUUGGGGAAGGAGACUUCUUUAGUACCGCAGCUAACGCGCUAAGUUGACCGCCUGGGGAGUACGGUCGCAAGAUUAAAACUCAAAGGAAUUGACG